rnacentral:rRNA from 1 species
UACGUAGGGUGCAAGCGUUGUCCGGAAUUAUUGGGCGUAAAGAGCUCGUAGGCGGUCUGUCGCGUCUGCUGUGAAAACUCAGGGCUUAACCCUGAGCUUGCAGUGGGUACGGGCAGACUAGAGUGCGGUAGAGGAGACUGGAAUUCCUGGUGUAGCGGUGAAAUGCGCAGAUAUCAGGAGGAACACCGGUGGCGAAGGCGGGUCUCUGGGCCGUAACUGACGCUGAGGAGCAAAAGCAUGGGGAGCGAACAGG